GAAGGCACUUCUCUGGCCCGUAACUGACGCUGAGGAGCGAAAGCGUGGGGAGCGAACAGGAUUAGAUACCCUGGUAGUCCACGCCGUAAACGUUGGGCGCUAGAUGUGGGUCACAUUCCACGUGAUCCGUGUCGCAGCUAACGCAUUAAGCGCCCCGCCUGGGGAGUACGGCCGCAAGGCUAAAACUCAAAGGAAUUGACGGGGGCCCGCACAAGCGGCGGAGCAUGCGGAUUAAUUCGAUGCAACGCGAAGAACCUUACCAAGACUUGACAUAUUCAGGAAAACUGCAGAAAUGUAGUCCCCCGCAAGGGUCUGUUUACAGGUGGUGCAUGGUUGUCGUCAGCUCGUGUCGUGAGAUGUUGGGUUAAGUCCCGCAACGAGCGCAACCCUCGUCCUAUGUUGCCAGCACGUUAUGGUGGGAACUCAUGGGAGACUGCCGGGGUCAACUCGGAGGAAGGUGGGGAUGACGUCAAAUCAUCAUGCCCCUUAUGUCUUGGGCUUCACGCAUGCUACAAUGGCCGGUACAAAGGGCUGCAAUACCGCAAGGUGGAGCGAAUCCCAAAAAGCCGGUCUCAGUUCGGAUUGAGGUCUGCAACUCGACCUCAUGAAGUCGGAGUCGCUAGUAAUCGCAGAUCAGCAACGCUGCGGUGAAUACGUUCCCGGGCCUUGUACACACCGCCCGUCAAGUCACGAAAGUCGGUAACACCCGAAGCCGGUGGCCUAACCGUA
rnacentral:rRNA from 1 species